UACGGGGGGUGCAAGCGUUAUUCGGAUUUACUGGGCGUAAAGCGCGCGCAGGCGGUUUUGUAAGUCGGAUGUGAAAGCCCUGGGCUCAACCCGGGAAGUGCAUUCGAUACUGCAUAACUUGAGUAUGGGAGAGGGAAGUGGAAUUCCUGGUGUAGAGGUGAAAUUCGUAGAUAUCAGGAGGAACAUCGGUGGCGAAGGCGACUUCCUGGACCAAUACUGACGCUGAGGCGCGAAGGCGUGGGGAGCAAACAGGAUUAGAUACCCUGGUAGUCCACGCAGUAAACGGUGAUCACUAGGUGUAGCGGGUAUUGACCCCUGCUGUGCCGCAGCUAACGCAUUAAGUGAUCCGCCUGGGGAGUACGAUCGCAAGAUUAAA
rnacentral:rRNA from 1 species